AACCCGCGACGGUUCUGUGCGGUUUAGUGCGAAUCCUGGAUUUUCGGGCCUAAAGAGAAUACCAAUCUGCAGGAUCGAAUCUACGUGCAGGAAUACGGAUUCUUUUUGGUGAAUUUCAGAUGGGAUUUCCACUUCGCUAGGAACAUCUCUGGCACGCAUAACUGUAAAAACAUUCUCACUUCCGUGACCAACGCCCAAAAAGAACGUUAGUGAAUGAACUUCUGUAUAGAGGAAGGAAUAUAGUUUCGUGAUCCACGAAUGCUCGCGUGCGGGUUUUAAUACCCAAGAGGAGAAUCACUGCUCCUUAUUACCUCUCUGCAUUUCAUCCUCCCCCCCCCCCCCCCCGACUGGAGUGUCUGUUAUUUCGUCUACCCAGGGUAGUUUUCUCGUUAGGAACCCAGUGUAUGCCAUCACGAACCUUCAAAAUGGAAUCUCCUGGUAUCGUGAAUCACGUGCACUUCUUAAGAAACAGACUGGGAAAUCGACAGGAAGCUAUGAAAACAGAAUACCUCCAUCAGAAAGAAGAGUCUUUGUACUCGCCGAGAAAAGGGAAUAACGAGCUACGAAAUUUAUUCUGUCGCGCAUUUGGACGACUUUUAUUCCGCGUUUCCAUUUUUACCCCGCCAGGUUAUCUAUCCCCAAGGACCCCCGGUGUACGUAAACGUUUCUCUGCGUUGUUGAAUCUUUUAUGAUGUUUCAAAGCUGCGCCAAGAGAUUCCUUCCCACGAUUUAAAAUAACGAAAGCUGGAGGAAUACUGCGAAUACUUCGUACGAUCGUCAUGUGACAUAUCGGGACUUGCGUACGUCUCAUUGUUUCACUAUCUAAAAACGCAGUAUAAAUACCGUUCGACAUGCUUUGCGAAAUUAUGGCAUCAAUUUAAUCCGUAUUCUAUUGUCGACUUGUUAGUAUUUAUUGCAUGUGUAAUGAAAUGUGUGAUCAUUUAUGAAUAAUAAUAAUAGUAAUCUUUACUGCACAUACUAUAUUAUAUUAUUAUAUUAAGACCUUAUCUUUAAUGCCAUUGUAUUUAUAAAUUCGACUGACACCACUAUAAUCUUUGUACCCCUUCAAUUAUAAUACCGUUCGACAUGCCUUGUAAAGUUAUGGCAUCAAUUUAUUGCGUAUUCUAUUGUCGACUUGUUAGUAUUUACUGCGUGUGUAAUUAAGCGUGUGAUCAUUUGUGAAUAAUAAUAAUAGUAAUAUUUACUGCAUAUAUUACAUUAUAUUUUUAUAUUAAGGCCUUACCAUUGAUGCCACUGUAUUUAUAAAUUCGACUGACACCACUAUAAUCUUUGUAUCCUAUCAAUUACAAUACCGUUCGACAUGCCAAAAGUUUCUUCCAUGACUUGCAUUCAGUUAUUUUGUGUGGCAGUGUUUAUAGAAUUAGACAACAUAAUUUCUUAAAUGUUAAUGUCGUAACUGUAAUGGAGCAAAAUAAAUUGUACGCAAUUCAAUAAUGUAACAUUAUACAUAAAAUGUUGUGCAUGUAUUACUAUUUAAGGAAAUGGAAGAAACUUUUUGAAUAACCUAAUAUUAAUUUAUUCCAUAUUUUAUUGUCGGCUUGUAAGUAUUUAUUGCGCGCGUAAUGAAAUGUGUGAUGAUUUAUAAAUAAUAAUAAUAGUAAUCUUUACUGCACAUAUUAUAUUAUAUUUUUAUAUUGA